rnacentral:rRNA from 1 species
CGUUAGCGGCGGACGGGUGAGUAACACGUGGGUAACCUACCUAUAAGACUGGGAUAACUCCGGGAAACCGGGGCUAAUACCGGAUAAUACAUGAAACCGCAUGGUUUCAUGAUGAAAGACGGUUUUGCUGUCACUUAUAGAUGGACCCGCGGCGUAUUAGCUAGUUGGUAAGGUAACGGCUUACCAAGGCAACGAUACGUAGCCGACAUGAGAGGGUGAUCGGCCACACUGGAACUGAGACACGGUCCAGACUCCUACGGGAGGCAGCAGCC